UACGUAGGGUGCAAGCGUUAAUCGGAAUUACUGGGCGUAAAGCGUGCGCAGGCGGUUUGUAAGUCUGACGUGAAAUCCCCGGGCUCAACCUGGGAAUUGCGUUGGAGACUGCAAGGCUAGAAUCUGGCAGGGGGGGGUAGAAUUCCACGUGUAGCAGUGAAAUGCGUAGAGAUGUGGAGGAACACCGAUGGCGAAGGCAGCCCCUGGGUCAAGAUGACGCUCAUGCACGAAAGCGUGGGGAGCAAACAGG
rnacentral:rRNA from 1 species